GUUAAGAGAAAAGCCAAAGUCAUUACAGGUGACCCCACCCAUGCCUUGCAUCCGUCCUUCCAACUCCUCCCAUCAGAUCACAGGUACAAAGUCCCCUUUGCCAUUAAAAGGACCCAUAAAAACUAAUUUAUCCUCACUGCAAUAAAUAUCCUAUAUAAAUAAAUCAAUGCAACAAUAACAACAUGACUGCUUGGUCACUUUACACCCCACAGUCUUUCGACUUUAAAUCUUUACAUGUAAUUGUUUUAGUCAUGCAUAUGAACUGUCUUUUUUACUGUUUCAGUAAUUCAUGGCUGUUGUAUUAUUUGUUGCACUGUGUUGAGCCACAAGGGCGAGGACAAUUUUCUGUCACAGCAGACAGUAAAGUUUUCUGAAUCUGAAGUUAUGGAGGAAAAUCCCAGCUCCCAUUUGGUUUGCCCUGAAGUUGACUCCAUACUUUUACUGAAAAUUAUGUCAUAUCUAACAAGACAAACACUGCAAGGAAAAAAAAAGUGUUUGCACACCUGGACAGAUGCACAGGGGGGAAGUUGACCAUGAAAUCUUAAAAUACUACUGCACAACACUGUAGUCUUUGCAGUUUGCAGUUCUAAGAUUUUUUGUAUUGCGUUACAAUAUGGCAGUACCACACCCUAUCUUUGUCAGUUUGAUUCAUCAUUACAAUAAGCAGUGUGUCCAUUUACAGUAACAGAGCAGCAGAAUGUCACAGUUUACUGUAUGAUUGCACACAUUCAGCGCUCUGCAAAGAUGACAAAUACAGGGACAGGGUCUCACUCCAUUCUUUGUCUGCCACAUCUCACGUACACACUCUUCCCCCUUUGCCUUUUAGAUUGUCUCUGAUAUCAGCUGCUAAGAAUACUGUCAUCACUUCAUGAGCUCCCAGUGUUUCCAGUUUUGAGUCAUCAUGUGUAAACUGACUCCUGUGGUGUAGUUGGAUUUAGCUUCGGACAGCUGCAGUUACCGUUAUGUAUCACAGUGCAAAUCAAGUUAAAAGUUGGUUGGAGUUUGUUCUUUUAGCAAUGUGAAAAAUUGUAACACACCGUUUAUUGAUGAAAGCAUGGAUUGAACAGAGAAACAUGCAGCAUACAGAACAGAUAAAAAGCUUACAAGCUCAAACUGAAAAUUUAACCAUAUCUAAAAAAAACAUAUCAGUGUGUUUAUAAGUCUAAAGUGUGUGACAGUGAGGGGAUUUGACUAACUCACAGUCUCAGACGGGAUUUAAGUGGCUGGAUAGAGAUUCAGAGACUGGGUAAAUCUAGAAGAGUAGAUUAUUGCAUAAUGCUGCCUUGCUGCUGUUUCUCUGACACAGAAACAAGGUACAUUAAGGUUCUCGAAGGGCGAGUUCUGAGUGGUAUCAUUUUACACACAUAUGAACAAAAUCCCAUCUUAACUCAAUAAGCUUGAAGCGGUUUACAUGAUAAUAAUAAUUUAUUUUCAGCUUUUUUUUACAUGCACUUUUUAUUCUACAAAGUGCAAAGUCCUGUCUAAACCAGAGAGGAAACACAUCAUGCUUCUUGCAUCUCUGAACUCUGGUGUUAAGGUGUCAGGUAUUUUGUCAGUGUUUACCACCUGGUUGCAUUUCCUACUUGGCGUAGUGUUUCACAGAUUGGUGCAUUGCACUCUGUCUGUUUUGGCCAGGCUCUGUGUGUCAAAGGCUUGCACCGUCAGGGCUCAUAUUAAAGCUCUGCUAUGAGGAAGAGUCAUAUUUGUCGAGGUUGAAAGCUUGCAGGCCCAGUCGGGGAUGGCAGGUAUCGAUUUAUACGCAGAGGCAACCUGACCUCAGAUCCCCCUGACACAGAGCUGUCUGUGGUGACGCAGCCUGAAGGUCAGAGCAGAGCAGUGACUGUUUGUGACUGACAAACAACUUUUUAAAAAAUGUUUGUAAGUCAUUUGUUAACCAGAAGUUUUUUCAUUAUGCCUGACAUGUUGAAAUGCAUGCAAUUCAAACACCUUAUCACUUUACUUUGCAUGUGUAUGUUUUGUUUGGAGAAUAAUAAGCCUUGAGUGUGAUUGAGUGGUGAGUUGUUUUCAAUGUGCCAUAGUUGGGAUUCCUGUUUAUCUUAAGUUUUUCAAUCUGUAGUUAAAAUGACCAAAUCAGCUAUCAGUAGUCCCAUCCCUACACUCUAACUCUGAAGUUAUGAUUUACUUCUGCCUGUUUUACUCUCAUGUAUAUUUUAACUCAUUCUGUCAGAGUGAGGAAGCUGGUUAUACACUGACUUCUGCAUGUUCAGUGUACAUUAACUUCUCGUCUUUGUCUUGAAUUCCUGCAGAAUCAUGCAGCAUUAAAACCCGAAUCCUGGGCAGAAUGACACACUAAAUGCACUCUAAUACAUAAAAACAGUCAUGCAUUAAAGCUUCACUUGCAUUUCUUUUGGUUAGCCCUGUGAUUAUUGUUUCUUCUCAUAAAAUAAGUAACUUCUCAGUCGUUAUUUUGGUAUAGGAUCCCCUUCUUUUCUAAAAUUUCAGUUUUGUUUGUAUUGAUGAAAGUCUGUGUCCCUACAUAACACUUGUUUUCCAUUCUGGGUUGUAUCGAAUGAGUAGUCUACUGUGUCACUGUAAAAAAUCGUCUUCAUUUCUUUUUAUUAAAUCUCCGGGAAAGCAUCCAAUAACUUGUAAACUUAAUUUAAGCAAAGACACAGCACCUCUCUCUUCAUUCCAGGAUCGAUUACUGAGAAGAAAGGAUGGUUCCUAAACAUAUACUGACUAACCACUAAACCAAAGGUAAGAAAAAGCUUAAAAAACAGUAUUAUUUUCAGUUUGUUUUGUAAUCUACUAAUAACCCAUUAUAGUAGCUUUAAUUGUAAUGAAACUCCAUAAUGUGGCUCAUAAGUACCAGUAACAUAUGGAAAUGUUGCACCUUUAUAUUGCACCUGCAUAAUGUGGCAAGAGAGCCUGUUUGAUGUCUUACAUAUUUACUGUAUUUUGUUAAUAAAGAGUCGUUCUCGCAUUGUCAAUUAUAACACCAUAUUCAGAUGACAUUGAGUGUCUCACACUGGCAGCUC
rnacentral:lncRNA from 1 species